AUAGGGGAGCCGGAGGGAAACCGAGUCUUAAUUGGGCGUUAAGUUGCAGGGUAUAGACCCGAAACCCGGUGAUCUAGCCAUGGGCAGGUUGAAGGUUGGGUAACACUAACUGGAGGACCGAACCGACUAAUGUUGAAAAAUUAGCGGAUGACCUGUGGCUGGGGGUGAAAGGCCAAUCAAACCGGGAGAUAGCUGGUUCUCCCCGAAAGCUAUUUAGGUAGCGCCUCGUGAAUUCAUCUCCGGGGGUAGAGCACUGUUUCGGCUAGGGGGCCAUCCCGGCUUACCAACCCGAUGCAAACUGCGAAUACCGGAGAAUGUUAUCACGGGAGACACACGGCGGGUGCUAACGUCCGUCGUGAAGAGGGAAACAACCCAGACCGCCAGCUAAGGUCCCAAAGUCAUGGUUAAGUGGGAAACGAUGUGGGAAGGCCCAGACAGCCAGGAUGUUGGCUUAGAAGCAGCCAUCAUUUAAAGAAAGCGUAAUAGCUCACUGGUCGAGUCGGCCUGCGCGGAAGAUGUAACGGGGCUAAACCAUGCACCGAAGCUGCGGCAGCGACGCUUAUGCGUUGUUGGGUAGGGGAGCGUUCUGUAAGCCUGUGAAGGUGUGUCGUGAGGCAUGCUGGAGGUAUCAGAAGUGCGAAUGCUGACAUAAGUAACGAUAAAGCGGGUGAAAAGCCCGCUCGCCGGAAGACCAAGGGUUCCUGUCCAACGUUAAUCGGGGCAGGGUGAGUCGACCCCUAAGGCGAGGCCGAAAGGCGUAGUCGAUGGGAAACGGGUUAAUAUUCCCGUACUUGGUGUUACUGCGAAGGGGGGACGGAGAAGGCUAUGUUGGCCGGGCGACGGUUGUCCCGGUUUAAGCGUGUAGGUGUGUGUUCCAGGUAAAUCCGGUU
rnacentral:rRNA from 1 species